rnacentral:rRNA from 1 species
UACGUAGGGUGCGAGCGUUGUUCGGAAUUACUGGGCGUAAAGGGCUCGUAGGCGGCCAACUAAGUCAGACGUGAAAUCCCCAGGCUCAACCUGGGAACUGCGUCUGAUACUGGAUGGCUUGAAUCCGGGAGAGGGAUGCAGAAUUCCAGGUGUAGCGGUGAAAUGCGUAGAUAUCAGGAGGAACACCGGUGGCGAAGGCGGCUAUCUGGACAGAAACUGACGCUGAGGCGCGAAAGCUAGGGGAGCAAACAGG